GAUUCCCCUAGUAACUGCGAGUGAAGCGGGAAAAGCUCAAAUUUAAAAUCUGGCAGUCUUUGAUUGUCCGAGUUGUAAUCUAGAGAAGCAUUAUCCGCGCUGGACCGUGUACAAGUCUCCUGGAAUGGAGCGUCAUAGAGGGUGAGAAUCCCGUCUUUGACACGGACUGCCAGGGCUUUGUGAUGUGCUCUCAAAGAGUCGAGUUGUUUGGGAAUGCAGCUCAAAAUGGGUGGUAAAUUCCAUCUAAAGCUAAAUAUUGGCGAGAGACCGAUAGCGAACAAGUACCGUGAGGGAAAGAUGAAAAGAACUUUGGAAAGAGAGUUAAACAGUACGNNAAAUUGCCGAAAGGGAAACGCUUGAAGUCAGUCGCGUUGUCCGGGAAUCAACCUUGCUUUUGCUGGGCUACUUCCUGGUUAACGGGUCAGCAUCAAUUUUGACCGUUGGAAAAGUUGUUGGGAACUGUGGCUUCUUCGGAAGUGUUAUAGCCCAGUUUCGCAUACAACGGUUGGGAUUGAGGAACUCAGCACGCCNAAAGGCCCGGUUUUUAACCACGUUCGUGCUUAGGAUGCUGGCAUAAUGGCUUUAAUCGACCCGUCUUGAAACACGGACCAAGGAGUCUAACAUGCCUGCGAGUGUUUGGGUGGAAAACCCGAGCGCGUAAUGAAAGUGAAAGUUGAGAUCCCUGUCGUGGGGAGCAUCGACGCCCGGACUUGAACUUCUGUGACGGAUCCGCGGUAGAGCAUGUAUGUUGGGACCCGAAAGAUGGUGAACUAUGCCUGAAUAGGGUGAAGCCAGAGGAAACUCUGGUGGAGGCUCGUAGC
rnacentral:rRNA from 1 species